AGCAGCCGCGGUAAUUCCAGCUCCAAUAGCGUAUAUUAAAGUUGUUGCAGUUAAAAAGCUCGUAGUUGAAUUUCGGGGUUAGCAGGUCGGUCGUGCCAUCGGUAUGAACUGGUCUCGCUGAUCCCUCCCUCUUGACGAACUGUGAUACCAUUAAUUUGGUGUCGCAGGGAAUCAGGACUGUUACUUUGAAAAAAUUAGAGUGUUUAAAGCAGGCUCACGCUUGAAUACAUUAGCAUGGAAUAAUGAAAUAGGACGUUUGAUCCUAUUUUGUUGGCUUCUAGGAUUGACGUAAUGAUUAAUAGGGAUAGUUGGGGGCAUUAGUAUUCAAUUGUCAGAGGUGAAAUUCUUGGAUUUAUUGAAGACUAACUACUGCGAAAGCAUUUGCCAAGGAUGUUUUCAUUAAUCAAGAACGAAAGUUAGGGGAUCGAAGACGAUCAGAUACCGUCGUAGUCUUAACCAUAAACUAUGCCGACU
rnacentral:misc_RNA from 1 species